rfam:Myotis brandtii contig300001, whole genome shotgun sequence.
GGCAGUUCUUAGGUGAUGGACCUCGGAAUUGGGCUCCCUUCUCUCUGGUUCUGGGUGAGUCACCUGAGAACUGCA